AGCAGCCGCGGUAAUUCCAGCUCCAAUAGCGUAUAUUAAAGUUGUUGCAGUUAAAAAGCUCGUAGUUGAAUUUCGGGGUUAGUAGGUUGGUCGUGCCACUGGUACGUACUGGUCUCACUGAUUCCUCCUUCCUGAUGAACUGUAAUGCCAUUAAUUUGGUGUUGCAGGGAAACUGGACUGUUACUUUGAAAAAAUUAGAGUGUUUAAAGCAAGCUAACGCUUGAAUACAUUAGCAUGGAAUAAUGAAAUAGGACGUUCGAUCCUAUUUUGUUGGUUUCUAGGAUUGACGUAAUGAUUAAUAGGGAUAGUUGGGGGCAUUAGUAUUCAAUUGUCAGAGGUGAAAUUCUUGGAUUUAUUGAAGACUAACUACUGCGAAAGCAUUUGCCAAGGAUGUUUUCAUUAAUCAAGAACGAAAGUUAGGGGAUCGAAGACGAUCAGAUACCGUCGUAGUCUUAACCAUAAACUAUGCCGACUAGGGAUCGGAUGAUGUUAAUUUUUUAAUGACCCAUUCGGCGCCUUA
rnacentral:rRNA from 1 species